AUUGAACGCUGGCGGCAUGCUUUACACAUGCAAGUCGAGCGGCAGCGCGGGGGCAACCCUGGCGGCGAGCGGCGAACGGGUGAGUAAUGCAUCGGAACGUACCCUGGAGUGGGGGAUAACGCCGCGAAAGCGGCGCUAAUACCGCAUAUGCUCUGAGGAGGAAAGUGGGGGACCGCAAGGCCUCACGCUCUGGGAGCGGCCGAUGUCCGAUUAGCUAGUUGGUGGGGUAAGCUUACCAAGGCGACGAUCGGUAGCUGGUCUGAGAGGAUGAUCAGCCACACUGGGACUGAGACACGGCCCAGACUCCUACGGGAGGCAGCAGUGGGGAA
rnacentral:rRNA from 1 species